GUAGGAGGCGAGCGUUAUCCGGAUUCACUGGGCGUAAAGCGCGUGCAGGUGGCUCGGUAAGUUGGGCGUGAAAUCUCCCGGCUCAACUGGGAGAGGUCGUUCAAUACUACCGAGCUAGAGAGCAGAAGAGGAAGAUGGAAUUCCCGGUGUAGUGGUGAAAUGCGUAGAUAUCGGGAGGAACACCAGUGGCGAAGGCGAUCUUCUGGUCUGUUUCUGACACUCAGACGCGACAGCUAGGGUAGUAAACGGGAUUAGAGACCCCGGUAAUCCUAGCCGUAAACGAUGUGAACUUGGCGUUGGUGGGUUAAACUCCAUCAGUGCCGUAGCAAACGCGAUAAGUUCACCGCCUGGGGACUACGGCCGCAAGGUUAAA
rnacentral:rRNA from 1 species